rnacentral:rRNA from 1 species
AUACGGAGGGUGCAAGCGUUAUCCGGAUUUAUUGGGUUUAAAGGGUGCGUAGGCGGUUUGAUAAGUCAGCGGUGAAAUAUUUCAGCUUAACUGGAAGGGUGCCGUUGAUACUGUCGAGCUUGAAUUUAGUUGCUGUGGGUGGAAUGUGUGGUGUAGCGGGGAAAUGCAUAGAUAUCACACAGAAUAUCGAUUGCGAAGGCAGCUCACAAAGCUAAUAUUGACGCUGAUGCACGAAAGUGUGGGGAUCAAACAGGAUUAGAUACCCUGGUAGUCCACACUGUAAACGAUGAUAACUCGCUGUCGGCGAUACAUAGUCGGUGGCCAAGCGAAAGCGAUAAGUUAUCCACCUGGGGAGUACGACCGCAAGGUUGAAACUCAAAUGAAUUGACGGGG